ACCCUACCACUACCACCAAAGGAAGACACAAUAUUAUCACUACCGUGCCUCUCUCUCUCAACCAAACCAAGACCGUGAGACACCGCCGACGAGCAGGAGCAACUAGUUUCCUCGCCGCCGUGCCUCCAUUCUCGCCGUUGUGCCUCCGUUCUUGCUGCCGUGCCUCCGUUCUCGUCGCCAAGGUUUAGAGGAUGCGUUACAUGAAAGAAAUUAUUGAAGAGCUUAUGAAGAAUGGUCGCUUUUGCCUAUACAUUCACAUGAUAUUGAUGAAGUUCGUGUUGAGUGGGUAAAUCUCAUUCUUAGUCACAUAUAAAAAGUAGAGGUAAUAUUCUACAACUUUGGUUUACUAAUAUGGAUUUGUGUUAUAGAUAUACUAGUAUAUGUUUAUUUGGUCUAUUGAUUUUAAUGAAAGAAAUAUACUUUUGAAAUAAUAUAUGUUGCAAUUAGCUGGAAUUUUGUUUGAAAUGUAAGAAAUGCUUUGUUGACAUGAUUGUUUUAUAUGUUUUCAUGGCAAAUAUUGUUUUAAUUUUGUGCCAGGAUAUGUUGGAAAUGAAGCAAAAACAGGAGACUUUUGCUGAAUUUUCCAUGAAGAUUCUUCAACAAUAGACUACUAGAUAUUGUUUUGAAAAAAAAUAUUGUACUCUUUGUUUUGUAUAUUUAAUCUCUUGUCGUUGUUAGCUUCAUUUCAGUGUACAUUAACAGAAUAUGAAAUAUUGUGAAAUUAUAUAUGAUAAUUAUAAUUUUUUAGUGUA